rnacentral:rRNA from 1 species
GAUGAACGCUGGCGGCGUGCCUAAUACAUGCAAGUCGAGCGAACGGACGAGAAGCUUGCUUCUCUGAUGUUAUCGGCGGACGGGUGAGUAACACGUGGAUAACCUACCUAUAAGACUGGGAUAACUUCGGGAAACCGGAGCUAAUACCGGAUAAUAUUUUGAACCGCAUGGUUCAAAAGUGAAAGACGGUCUUGCUGUCACUUAUAGAUGGAUCCGCGCUGCAUUAGCUAGUUGGUAAGGUAACGGCUUACCAAGGCAACGAUGCAUAGCCGACCUGAGAGGGUGAUCGGCCACACUGGAACCGAGACACGGUCCAGACUCCUACGGGAGGCAGCAGUAGGGAAUCUUCCGCAAUGGGCGAAAGCCUGACGGAGCAACGCCGCGUGAGUGAUGAAGGUCUUCGGAUCGUAAAACUCUGUUAUUAGGGAAGAACAUAUGUGUAAGUAACUGUGCACAUCUUGACGGUACCUAAUCAGAAAGCCACGGCUAACUACGUG